AGCAGCCGUGGUAAUUCCAGCUCCAAUAGCGUAUAUUAAAGUUGUUGCAGUUAAAAAGCUCGUAGUUGAAUUUCGGGAUCAAUUAGUCGGUCGUGCCUCUGGUACGUACUGGUUUUAUUGGUUCCUCCCUUCUGACGAAACAUGAUGUCAUUAAUUUGGUGUCGUGGAGAAUCAGGACUGUUACCUUGAAAAAUUAGAGUGUUUAUAGCAGGCUAACGCUUGAAUACAUUAGCAUGGAAUAAUGAAAUAGGACGUUCGACCCUAUUUUGUUGGUUUCUAGGAUCGACGUAAUGAUUAAUAGGGAUAGUUGGGGGCAUUAGUAUUCAAUUGUCAGAGGUGAAAUUCUUGGAUUUAUUGAAGACUAACUACUGCGAAAGCAUUUGCCAAGGAUGUUUUCAUUAAUCAAGAACGAAAGUUAGGGGAUCGAAGACGAUCAGAUACCGUCGUAGU
rnacentral:rRNA from 1 species